AGUCGAGCGGAAAGGCCCUUCGGGGUACUCGAGCGGCGAACGGGUGAGUAACACGUGAGUAAUCUGCCCCGCGCUUUGGGAUAGCCAGCCGAAAGGCUGAUUAAUACCGAAUACGACACUCUCCGGCAUCGGGUGGGUGUGGAAAGUUUUUUCGGCGUGGGAUGUGCUCGCGGCCUAUCAGCUUGUUGGUGGGGUAAUGGCCUACCAAGGCUUCGACGGGUAGCCGGCCUGAGAGGGUGACCGGCCACACUGGGACUGAGACACGGCCCAGACUCCUACGGGAGGCAGCAGUGGGGAAUAUUGGACAAUGGGCGGAAGCCUGAUCCAGCAACGCCGCGUGAGGGAUGACGGCCUUUCGGGUUGUAAACCUCUUUCAGCACAGACGAAGCGCAAGUGACGGUAUGUGCAGAAGAAGGACCGGCCAACUACGUGCCAGCAGCCGCGGUAAUACGUAGGGUCCGAGCGUUGUCCGGAAUUAUUGGGCGUAAAGGGCUCGUAGGCGGUUUGUCGCGUCGGGAGUGAAAACCUACAGCUUAACUGUGGGCUUGCUUUCGAUACGGGCAGACUUGAGGCAUGCAGGGGAGAACGGAAUUCCUGGUGUAGCGGUGAAAUGCGCAGAUAUCAGGAGGAACACCGGUGGCGAAGGCGGUUCUCUGGGCAUGUUCUGACGCUGAGGAGCGAAAGUGUGGGGAGCGAACAGGAUUAGAUACCCUGGUAGUCCACACCGUAAACGUUGGGCGCUAGGUGUGGGAUCCAUUCCACGGGUUCCGUGCCGCAGCUAACGCAUUAAGCGCCCCGCCUGGGGAGUACGGCCGCAAGGCUAAAACUCAAAGGAAUUGACGGGGGCCCCGCACAAGCGGCGGAGCAUGCGGAUUAAUUCGAUGCAACGCGAAGAACCUUACCUGGGUUUGACAUACACCGGAAAGCUGCAGAGAUGUAGCCCCUUUUAGUCGGUGUACAGGUGGUGCAUGGCUGUCGUCAGCUCGUGUCGUGAGAUGUUGGGUUAAGUCCCGCAACGAGCGCAACCCUCGUCCUAUGUUGCCAGCACGUCAUGGUGGGGACUCAUAGGAGACUGCCGGGGUCAACUCGGAGGAAGGUGGGGAUGACGUCAAGUCAUCAUGCCCCUUAUGUCCAGGGCUUCACGCAUGCUACAAUGGCCGGUACAAAGGGCUGCGAUCCCGUGAGGGGGAGCGAAUCCCAAAAAGCCGGUCUCAGUUCGGAUUGGGGUCUGCAACUCGACCCCAUGAAGUCGGAGUCGCUAGUAAUCGCAGAUCAGCAACG
rnacentral:rRNA from 1 species